UAGGGAAUCUUCCACAAUGGACGAAAGUCUGAUGGAGCAACGCCGCGUGAGUGAAGAAGGGUUUCGGCUCGUAAAACUCUGUUGUUAAAGAAGAACAUAUCUGAGAGUAACUGUUCAGGUAUUGACGGUAUUUAUCCAGAAAGCCACGGCUAACUACGUGCCAG
rnacentral:rRNA from 1 species